ACUGGCUUCAUGCUCUUGCAACUUGUAAGGAAUUAUUUAAGUGCUAUACAUGAAAGUGCAGUUCGCAUCGUAUGCACUUGGAUCUUAAUAUAGUAUGGCCUGGACGUAUGUGUUUGUACUCCUGGGACUUAUUUAUAAACUUGCUCAGUUGGUAUGAUAUUGGUCAAACGACUAGAACGACACACUGAACUUUGGUUUGUGUAUGAAUUCAGUUUUUCCUAUUGCAGAUACAAACUUAGUCCUUUUAGCUGAUAGAAUUAUAUCAACUGUACUUUUUUCUUAGAUUUCUUUUUUCUCAUUUAGUCAUUACUUGUUGCAUUCAUUUCCUUUUUUAGUCUAUCGGUUUUUACAGGUUGAAUAAUCUCAGUGAGGGAGUUUUGGUCUGUUUUGUACUGGAUGGACUACUAGUGCCAAAGUUGAAGAUUUGCAUGGUUGCGCUACCUCCCAACCAGGUUGAUCUAGCGCUUGAGGCUGCUGUGUGGGUAGGAAAAACGACCUAAACCAAAUUGAAAAACAGAUGGCUGGAAACUAGGCACUCCCUAGUUUUUUACUGUGAGCAAUCUCUGUUUAUUUGCAUGUGUGUUGCUCCUCCGUCCACUGAUUCUUUUUGCACAAGAUAGUCGUCUCUCAUGCAAUGCGAAUUAUUCAGUACAGGUUAUUUACAUGAUUUUUGGAUUGAAUCCGUCCGGAGUCUACGUUAAUAACUGGUUAUAUACUAACUUUGUGCCGUGCUACGAUGAUUUUUUAAUGGAAGGAUCAGAUACCCAAAUUUGAGAUACACCGUUGCAAACUGACCAUAAUGUUUUGUAUGGACAAAAUAAAAUUUAUCAUGUUUUUGAUGCUUGAUUUGUAAAGAUAAUUUGUUUAUGUCAUUUCUGAGCGGGAGGAGGCCACACAAGAGCCGACCACAACAAAUCCGGUUGAAAAGAUGGCCAAAUGAUUGAGAAAGUGCAUUUAUUGUCAAUCUAACCCUCUCAUCCAAACACCACCAAAGUUAGAGUUAGUUUAGGGUUAGACACAAGUUAGAAACUAACUCUAACCUCUAACUAAGUUAGAGUAUCCAAACAGG
rnacentral:lncRNA from 1 species